AGUGGCGAACGGGUGAGUAAUAUAUCGGAACGUAUCCAAUAAUGGGGGAUAACUAAUCGAAAGGUUAGCUAAUACCGCAUACGCCCUACGGGGGAAAGCAGGGGAUCUUCGGACCUUGCGUUAAUGGAGCGGCUGAUAUCUGACUAGCUAGUAGGUGAGGUAAAGGCUCACCUAGGCUUCGAUCAGUAGCUGGUCUGAGAGGACGACCAGCCACACUGGAACUGAGACACGGUCCAGACUCCUACGGGAGGCAGCAGUGGGGAAUUUUGGACAAUGGGCGCAAGCCUGAUCCAGCCAUUCCGCGUGAGUGAAGAAGGCCUUCGGGUUGUAAAGCUCUUUCGCAAGGGAAGAAACGAUACCGACGAAUAAUCGGUGUUAAUGACGGUACCUUGAUAAGAAGCACCGGCUAACUACGUGCCAGCAGCCGCGGUAAUACGUAGGGUGCGAGCGUUAAUCGGAAUUACUGGGCGUAAAGCGUGCGCAGGCGGUUUUGUAAGUCAGAUGUGAAAUCCCCGGGCUCAACCUGGGAACUGCGUUUGAAACUACAAGGCUAGAGUAUGGUAGAGGGGGGUAGAAUUCCACGUGUAGCAGUGAAAUGCGUAGAGAUGUGGAGGAAUACCAAUGGCGAAGGCAGCCCCCUGGACUAAUACUGACGCUCAUGCACGAAAGCGUGGGGAGCAAACAGGAUUAGAUACCCUGG
rnacentral:rRNA from 1 species